rnacentral:rRNA from 1 species
UACGGAGGGGACUAGCGUUGUUCGGAAUUACUGGGCGUAAAGCGCGCGCAGGCGGUCUUCCAAGUCAGUGGUGAAAGCCCGGAGCUCAACUCCGGAAUUGCCAUUGAAACUGUUAGACUUGAGGAUGAGAGAGGUGAGUGGAAUUCCCAGUGUAGAGGUGAAAUUCGUAGAUAUUGGGAAGAACACCGGUGGCGAAGGCGGCUCACUGGCUCAUUACUGACGCUCAGGCGCGAUAGCGUGGGGAUCAAACAGG